rnacentral:rRNA from 1 species
UAACUUGCCCUUGGGUCCGGGAUAACCCCUGAGAAAUUGGGGACAAUACCGGAUAGGGCAUCGAUUGCUGGAAUGCGCGAUGUCCAAAAGCUGAGGCGCCCAAGGAUAGGUCUGCGGCCGAUUAGGUUGUUGUUGAUGUAAUGGAUCAACAAGCCUGCAAUCGGUACGGGUUGUGAGAGCAAGAGCCCGGAGAUGGGUUCUGAGAAAAGAACCCAGGUCCUACGGGACGCAUCAGGCGCGAAAACUUUACAAUGUGCGAAAGCACGAUAAGGGAACUCUGAGUGCCUCCUAUGGAGGCUGUUCAGGUGUCUAAAAAGCACUUGAAGUAAGGGCUGGGUAAGACCGGUGCCAGCCGCCGCGGUAACACCGGCAGCCCAAGUGGUAGCCACGAUUAUUGGGUCUAAAGCGUCCGUAGCCGGCCAGGUAAGUUCUUUGGGAAAUUUAACCGCUCAACGGUUAAGCUUUCAGGGAAUACUGCUUGGCUUGGGACCGGGAGAGGUCAGAGGUACUUCAAGGGUAGGGGUGAAAUCCGUUAAUCCUUGAGGGACCACCAGUAGCGAAGGCGUCUGACCAGACCGGGUCCGACGGUGAGGGACGAAGGCUAGGGUCGCGAACCGGAUUAGAUACCCGGGUAGUCCUAGCUGUAAACGAUGCGGGCCAGGUGUUGGCAUUACUGCGAGUGAUGUCAGUGCCGAAGGGAAGCCGUUAAGCCCGCCAUCUGGGGAGUACGGUCGCAAGGCUGAAACUUAA